rnacentral:piRNA from 1 species
ACUUUGUCUCCUUAGAGGGUAGUAA